CUCUUGGUCAUAUAGAGGAAGUAAAAGUCGUAACAAGGUUUCCGUAGGUGAACCUGCGGAAGGAUCAUUAUCGAAUAAACUUGAACAGGCUGUUGUUGGUCUCUUGGGACAUUGAGCACGCUUGUCAUCUUUAUCAAAAAAAAAAACCGUGCACGUAUUUUGUAGACCUUGGAGGGGGGAAUGGAAUUGGGGGGGUUUUUUUCCCCCCCCACCACAAAAAAAGGGGGGGAGGUCGGCUUUCCCUUUGAAAAGGAAAUAUGUCAUUUUUUUCACAACCAAUAUGUCUAGAAUGUUGAAAAUACAUAAAAGUUAUAAAAAACAACUUUCAGCAACGGAUCUCUUGGCUCUCGCAUCGAUGAAGAACGCAGCGAAAUGCGAUAAGUAAUGUGAAUUGCAGAAUUCAGUGAAUCAUCGAAUCUUUGAACGCAUCUUGCGCUCCUUGGGUUCCGAGGAGCCCAAGGGGGGGGCCCCCUUCUGGGGGGGGGGAGCCUCUUUUAAAAAAGGGGGGGCCCCCUGUGGUUUGGGGGGGGGGGGUUAAUUUAAAAACCGGGGGCCCCCCUUCCCUGGGGGGGGGAGGGAACAUAAAAAAAGCCGGGGCCUUCUGGUUCUUUGGGGGGAAGGAACCAUACAAAAAGGGGGGGGCUCUGUUCUUUAGGGGAAGUAACAUACAAAAGCUAUUCGGCAUGUCUUGUAAUAACAG
rnacentral:misc_RNA from 1 species